CCACAGUGUUCAAAUCACCCCAAAACCAACUACUUCAACAGCAAGAAAGAAAUUCAAAUAAAAUGGCUAAAUAAGCAAUCAGAUAUUUUAAAGUAUAAAUACAAAUUGUUUCCAUAUAUUUCUACAGGCACCUUAAUAUUGAGGAAACAAAGAGUGAGAAAACCAAACUUUUAUAGCACAUGUUAAAAAAGCCUCAGUGCACAAAGUCGGCUGCCUUUGACUAAUGUCACGCAGGACUUUGCAGGCAGCAGCUACUGCCGGCUGUUACGUAGCACAUCUGUUCCCUGACUUCCCAUCUGGGUUCAUGUUCUGUAGGUGAUUCAGAACACAUUGUCAUUGCUAUUUAAAACCCCACAGUGCACUGCAAGCAGUUGCAUUGUAUGUAUGUAUGUAUACAUGUAUAUAGCUACAUGUAUAUGUGAUGUCUCGACAGGUCGGGACCAUGAGCUCAGCCGUGGGUGAGUUUCUAUUCCCCUGAGGCCCUGAUGGGUUGUAGUCCCUGCUGCAACCACUGGGAGGGGAUGCACCCCAGUCGCCCGGCAGCUAGCUUAGCCUUGCGGCGCAUAAAGUGGUCUGACUCGUGUUUACCCGUCCACUGGAAGUAAACAGUGUUAAGAUAUUUUAUUGCAUAGAUUAACGUGUUGAUUUUGACAGCUCCAAUUAUAUAUAUUUAUAUACAAUGCUAUAUAAUUUGUGUGAACAGCAAACGGCAUCUCUGUGAGGAAAUGAGAAAAUUGCUGAGCAGAAACGUAAAUAAAAUAACUCCCCAAGGAGCUAUCAGUUUAUUUAUUCCGUCUUGAAUAGAAAUGGCUUGAAAAGGCUUAACCUGCAUUCAGAAAUGUGGGUGGAGGCGGUUUGUUGUGGAGGCGGCCUGACGUUCUCCGCUCAUCGGUCACCUGCCUGCUCACACACGCUCAGCUCAUCUACGACCUGAUGUUCAUGGUGUUACUCAGGAGCCCGCGAGGCAUCUCCAGUAUUUAGAGCGGGGGUCUCAAACUCGCGGGCCGAGGGCCAUGUUGCGGCCCUGUGGCCCCCAUCGUAACAUGAAAGUUUAAAAGUGUUCUAUUGUAGAAACCCCGCUGUUAGCUGCUGUGUGGGACAAUGUCAUGAGGUUCUGGUUUCCUACUGUGUGCCCGUCCAGUGAAUGCGACAUGCGUGUGAGUGACGUGGGGGGGCGGGGACGUGUGUGUGAGAAAGAGUGAGAAUAGAGUGGCUUUGGACAUAGUUUAUAGUCUAGUAUGUAUAUAUAGUCUAUCUAGUGUGUGUGUGUGUAUAUAUA
ensembl:lncRNA